CCUACGGAGCGCAGCAGUGGGGAAUAUUGGACAAUGGGCGAAAGCCUGAUCCAGCCAUGCCGCGUGUGUGAAGAAGGCCUUCGGGUUGUAAAGCACUUUCAGUGGGGAAGAAAGCCUUGGGGCUAAUACCCUCGAGGAAGGACAUCACCCACAGAAGAAGCACCGGCUAACUCCGUUCCAGCAGCCGCGGUAAUACGGAGGGUGCGAGCGUUAAUCGGAAUUACUGGGCGUAAAGCGCGCGUAGGCGGUCUGAUAAGCCGGUUGUGAAAGCCCCGGGCUCAACCUGGGAACGGCAUCCGGAACUGUCAGGCUAGAGUGCAGGAGAGGAAGGUAGAAUUCCCGGUGUAGCGGUGAAAUGCGUAGAGAUCGGGAGGAAUACCAGUGGCGAAGGCGGCCUUCUGGACUGACACUGACGCUGAGGUGCGAAAGCGUGGGUAGCAAACAGGAUUAGAUACCCCUGUAGUC
rnacentral:rRNA from 1 species